rnacentral:tRNA from 1 species
CAGAGAGUAGUUUAAAUAAAAUAUUAGUUUUGGGGACUAAUGAUAGGGGUUUCUCUUUUCUCUGA